UAAAGGAAGAUCAUCAAAUAACAUAUAUAAAUACAUAAACAAAAUUUGGCACUUCAACCAACAUCAAUAUUGCAUAUUAAGUACAGUUAGGUCAGAACAGCAGAGCUUCUCUACACUUUCUAAUCAGUAAUUGCCACUCAUUACCAAACUUUCGCAACUGAAAUCAUGCUUGUAACUGAAAGAUUAUAAGGCUCAAUGAGGUUCCUGUAUGUCAAAUGUAGCUCAUGUAAGAAGCAAGAAAUCAAAUGAAUUAGAGAGAAAUAUGCUACCUACAGACUCCUUAAUUUGUAUUUACAAAUGUACCAGAAAGUCUGAAACUUCAAUUUAAGUUUCAGAAGUACAGUUCAAGUGGGGCAACAUGAACUCACAUGGAGCACCAGCACAAUGGUGCAAUUUUUGAAUACCAUAGGUCCAUAUUCAUAAAGAUAAUAACAUUAUAAGCAAAUCAUAUGAUCGGCAAUAAAGAAUAGAACACUAUAAAUUACUUUGUAUAAAUGUUUCAAUAAGCACUUAUUGAAAAAGAAAAAAAUGGAGAUAAUGUUAUAAAUGACUGAAAUCAUUAAUAACUAUACACACAAAUUAAAAUGAAUUUAUGCACUAAAAAAAUUUCUCAAUAAAUUUAUAAGGACAUGUUUUAGUUCAUUGGAAAAACUAAUUCAAGAUGCAUACAAGUAAUGUAUCCACAGAAACAGAAGGAAACAAGAAAACAAACCAGUUAUAAACAUCUUGCUCUAAGAGGAUGCAUUGAGCAAUCUAUUAAGUCAACUUCUGCUGAACGUGAAUCUAUUACAUCAGGUAUG
rnacentral:lncRNA from 1 species